rnacentral:misc_RNA from 1 species
UGUGCUGACCCCCCGCCA